AGAGCGAACGCUGGCGGCAGGCUUAACACAUGCAAGUCGAGCGCCCCGCAAGGGGAGCGGCAGACGGGAGAGUAACACGUGGGAACGUACCUUUCAGUUCGGAACAACCCAGGGAAACUUGGGCUAAUACCGGAUACGCCCUUACGGGGAAAGAUUUAUCGCUGAAAGAUCGGCCCGCGUCUGAUUAGCUAGUUGGUGGGGUAACGGCCCACCAAGGCUACGAUCAGUAGCUGGUCUGAGAGGAUGAUCAGCCUCACUGGGACUGAGACACGGCCCAGACUCCUACGGGAGGCAGCAGUGGGGAAUAUUGGACAAUGGGCGCAAGCCUGAUCCAGCCAUGCCGCGUGGAUGAUGAAGGCCCUAGGGUUGUAAAGUCCUUUCGGCGGGGAAGAUAAUGACGGUACCGCAGAAGAAGCCCGGCUAACUUCGUGCCAGCAGCCGC
rnacentral:rRNA from 1 species